rnacentral:rRNA from 1 species
AGGACGAACGCUGGCGGCGUGCUUAACACAUGCAAGUCGAACGGUGAACUCCGCUUGCGGGGGGAUCAGUGGCGAACGGGUGAGUAACACGUGGGCAACCUGCCCUCAGCUCUGGGAUAACUCCAAGAAAUUGGGGCUAAUACUGGAUAUGACUGCUGACCGCAUGGUCUGGUGGUGGAAAGAUUUAUCGGCUGGGGAUGGGCCCGCGGCCUAUCAGCUUGUUGGUGGGGUAGUGGCCUACCAAGGCGACGACGGGUAGCCGGCCUGAGAGGGUGACCGGCCACACUGGGACUGAGACACGGCCCAGACUCCUACGGGAGGCAGCAGUGGGGAAUAUUGCGCAAUGGGCGAAAGCCUGACGCAGCGACGCCGCGUGGGGGAUGGACGGCCGUUCGGGUUGUAAACCUCUUUCAGCAGGACGAAGGCGAAGUAGACGUACCUGCAGAAGAAGCGACCGGCCAACGUACGU